UUUCACUUUCCCUGGUUUCAGUUACCCACAGCCAACCACAGUCCCUGUCAUCAGAAGAUCAAGACUAGUAGUCUAAUGUUCUGGCACAAUGUUACUCACCUCACUUCAUCUCAUCUCAUCAUGGGAGCAUUUUAGCAUCUCGUCAUCACAAGCAGAAGGCCAUGCCAGAAAUCUGGGAGGAAUAAUACUCACCUGGGAGACUCUGGGAAGACUGUGGCGGAGGUGAUGUUUGAGCCGAAUCUUGAGAGGUGAGUGGAAAUUUGCCAGGUGAAGAAAGAGAAGGGUAUUUACGAGCAGAGGGAAUAGCAUAGCUCAUGAAAGUGCCUGGCACGUUUGAGAAAUGGUGAAGAGAGAGAUUUUGUGAGGGGGAAGGUAGACGGACAGAUAGCUUGGGGCUAGCACAUGGGGAGGCUUCUUAGGCCACAUGAAUGGCUAAUCACCCCUUCAGGUAAUGGGGGGUUGGGGGGCACAGGUAGUGCGGGAUGUAUUGUGUGUUAUGCUUUGUUUUUAAAAUUUUGUUUUGUAUUUUUAAAAAAAUUUUUUAAAUGUUUAUUUUUAUUUUUGAGAGAGAGAGACACAGAGAGAGAGAGAGAGAGACAGAGAGAGAGAGAGACACACAGAGAGAGAGAGAUCACGCAUGAGCAGGGGAAGGGCAGAAAGAGAGGGAGACACAGAAUCCGAAGCAGGUUCCAGGCUCUGAGCUGUCAGCACAGAGCCCAACGCAGGGCUGGAACCCAUGGACUGCAAGAUCAUGACCUGAGCCGAAGUUGGAUCCUCAACUGACUGAACCACCCAGGCACCCCAAGGUUUUAUUUUUAAGUAAUCUCUACACCCAGUGUGGGACUUGAACUGAGGUCAAGAGUCACAUGCUUCACCAACUGAGCCAGCCGGGCGCCCCAUGUGUGUGUGUGUGGUGCUUUUAAGGUAAUGGGAGGUCAUGUGGAGGGAGUAUAUAACGUGGGAGUAGGGAAAAACAGGUUAGGAGACAAAUAGGAGGUGGGAGCGGGAAGGCUGGCUCUGAGAAGCGUUUCUGAAAGAGAAGAGACAGUAUGUGGUAAACACUGGUUGUGGAGGCUGAGGGAGAGGCAGAAAUGGAGUAGGACUUUGAAGUUGCUCGGUACAAGGGAGACUGGUGGCUGGUGGUACUGUUCAUUGAGGUGCAAGAACAAGCAACAAGAUGGGUUUUCUACUCCAGGGUUCUUCUGACUAGAGAGUGACCAUUAACAUUGGCACAGGUGGUCAGGGACCAAACAAGAAGACAGGAUGUCCGCGGCUGAGAAACUGGAGCAAGCCUGCCUCAGAAUGAAACCACAGAUCUCAACUGCCACGCUUUGGGCUCAAGGGAACCGUGUACUCGCUUGAUCAAUCUUGAAUAGUUUCUCCAAGUGAUCUGAGGACCCCAACUUCUGAGAAAAGGCACCUUUCUGUAAGCUAUCAGUGGACUCUGAAUAACCUGUCACAGGAGGGGGUGUGGGAGUGAUGAUCACCUGCGGAGACUGGCCAUGGAUGAGAGAACCUUCUUGGGUUAACUCUUGGCUUGGCAAAUGAGUUCUAGCCAGAGCUGGAAAGUCUGAAAAUGUAGAGAAAAGUUAAAGGGAGACUUAAAUAUUUCCAUGCGAAGGCAGGUUAAAAAAAGACAAACAUAUCAGCUUGUUCAGUAAAUCCCCAAACUGUUGAAACUUGACAUUUCAUAGAAACUUGCGCAAAAUGGAAAAAUACAAAUUGCUAAAUCAGAA